rnacentral:rRNA from 1 species
ACGAACGCUGGCGGCGUGGAUAAGACAUGCAAGUCGAACGAGAGAAUUGCUAGCUUGCUAAUAAUUCUCUAGUGGCGCACGGGUGAGUAACACGUGAGUAACCUGCCCCCGAGAGCGGGAUAGCCCUGGGAAACUGGGAUUAAUACCGCAUAGUAUCGAAAGAUUAAAGCAGCAAUGCGCUUGGGGAUGGGCUCGCGGCCUAUUAGUUAGUUGGUGAGGUAACGGCUCACCAAGGCGAUGACGGGUAGCCGGUCUGAGAGGAUGUCCGGCCACACUGGAACUGAGACACGGUCCAGACACCUACGGGUGGCAGCAGUCGAGAAUCAUUCACAAUGGGGGAAACCCUGAUGGUGCGACGCCGCGUGGGGGAAUGAAGGUCUUCGGAUUGUAAACCCCUGUCAUGUGGGAGCAAAUUAAAAAGAUAGUACCACAAGAGGAAGAGACGGCUAACUCUGUGCCAGCAGCCGCGGUAAUACAGAGGUCUCAAGCGUUGUUCGGAAUCACUGGGCGUAAAGCGUGCGUAGGCUGUUUCGUAAGUCGUGUGUGAAAGGCGCGGGCUCAACCCGCGGAUGGCACAUGAUACUGCGAGACUAGAGUAAUGGAGGGGGAACCGGAAUUCUCGGUGUAGCAGUGAAAUGCGUAGAUAUCGAGAGGAACACUCGUGGCGAAGGCGGGUUCCUGGACAUUAACUGACGCUGAGGCACGAAGGCCAGGGGAGCGAAAGGGAUUAGAUACCCCUGUAGUCCUGGCAGUAAACGGUGCACGCUUGGUGUGCGGGGAAUCGACCCCCUGCGUGCCGGAGCUAACGCGUUAAGCGUGCCGCCUGGGGAGUACGGUCGCAAGAUUAAAACUCAAAGAAAUUGACGGGGACCCGCACAAGCGGUGGAGUAUGUGGCUUAAUUCGAUGCAACGCGAAGAACCUUACCUGGGCUUGACAUGUAAUGAACAACAUGUGAAAGCAUGCGACUCUUCGGAGGCGUUACACAGGUGCUGCAUGGCCGUCGUCAGCUCGUGUCGUGAGAUGUUUGGUUAAGUCCAGCAACGAGCGCAACCCCUGUUGCCAGUUACCAGCACGUGAAGGUGGGGACUCUGGCGAGACUGCCCAGAUCAACUGGGAGGAAGGUGGGGACGACGUCAGGUCAGUAUGGCCCUUAUGCCCAGGGCUGCACACGUACUACAAUGCCCAGUACAGAGGGGGCCGAAGCCGCGAGGCGGAGGAAAUCCUAAAAGCUGGGCCCAGUUCGGACUGUAGGCUGCAACCCGCCUACACGAAGCCGGAAUCGCUAGUAAUGGCGCAUCAGCUACGGCGCCGUGAAUACGUUCCCGGGUCUUGUACACACCGCCCGUCACAUCAUGGAAGCCGGUCGCACCCGAAGUAUCUGAAGCCAACCGCAAGGAGGCAGGGUCCUAAGGUGAGACUGGUAACUGGGAUG